GGUUGACCUCGGAUCAGGUAGGGAUACCCGCUGAACUUAAGCAUAUCAAUAAGCGGAGGAAAAGAAACCAACAGGGAUUGCCUCAGUAACGGCGAGUGAAGCGGCAAGAGCUCAAAUUUGAAAGCUGGCCCCCUCGGGGUCCGCAUUGUAAUUUGCAGAGGAUGCUUCGGGUGCAGCCCCCGUCUAAGUGCCCUGGAACGGGCCGUCAUAGAGGGUGAGAAUCCCGUCUGGGACGGGGUGUCUGCGUCCGUGUGAAGCUCCUUCGACGAGUCGAGUUGUUUGGGAAUGCAGCUCUAAAUGGGUGGUAAAUUUCAUCUAAAGCUAAAUACUGGCCGGAGACCGAUAGCGCACAAGUAGAGUGAUCGAAAGAUGAAAAGCACUUUGAAAAGAGAGUUAAACAGCACGUGAAAUUGUUGAAAGGGAAGCGUUUGCGACCAGACUCGCCCGCGGGGUUCAGCCGGCAUUCGUGCCGGUGUACUUCCCCGUGGGCGGGCCAGCGUCGGUUUGGGCGGCCGGUCAAAGGCCCUCGGAAUGUAUCACCUCUCGGGGUGUCUUAUAGCCGAGGGUGCAAUGCGGCCUGCCCGGACCGAGGAACGCGCUUCGGCUCGGACGCUGGCGUAAUGGUCGUAAAUGACC
rnacentral:rRNA from 2 species